UGCGCAGGCGGUUUUGUAAGACAGAUGUGAAAUCCCCGGGCUCAACCUGGGACCUGCAUUUGUGACUGCAAGGCUAGAGUACGGUAGAGGGGGAUGGAAUUCCGCGUGUAGCAGUGAAAUGCGUAGAUAUGCGGAGGAACACCGAUGGCGAAGGCAAUCCCCUGGACCUGUACUGACGCUCAUGCACGAAAGCGUGGGGAGCAAACA
rnacentral:rRNA from 1 species